rnacentral:rRNA from 1 species
AUAUCAAUAAGCGGAGGAAAAGAAACCAACAGGGAUUGCCCUAGUAACGGCGAGUGAAGCGGCAAUAGCUCAAAUUUGAAAUCUGGUCUCUUUUCGGGGCCCGAGUUGUAAUUUGUAGAGGGUGCUUCGGCAUCGAUGCGGUAUAAGUUCCUUGGAACAGGACGUCAUAGAGGGUGAGAAUCCCGUACGUUGCCGCGUGUCGAUUGCCAUGUGAAGCCCCUUCGACGAGUCGAGUUGUUUGGGAAUGCAGCUCUAAAUGGGAGGUAAAUUUCUUCUAAAGCUAAAUACCGGCCAGAGACCGAUAGCGCACAAGUA